AGCGAACGCUGGCGGCAGGCCUAACACAUGCAAGUCGAGCGCCCCGCAAGGGGAGCGGCGGACGGGUGAGUAACGCGUGGGAACGUGCCUCUUGCUACGGAAUAGCCUCGGGAAACUGGGAGUAAUACCGUAUAAGCCCUACGGGGGAAAGAUUUAUCGGCAAGAGAUCGGCCCGCGUUGGAUUAGGUAGUUGGUGGGGUAAUGGCCUACCAAGCCGACGAUCUAUAGCUGGUUUGAGAGGAUGAUCAGCCACACUGGGACUGAGACACGGCCCAGACUCCUACGGGAGGCAGCAGUGGGGAAUCUUAGACAAUGGGCGCAAGCCUGAUCUAGCCAUGCCGCGUGAGCGAUGAAGGCCUUAGGGUUGUAAAGCUCUUUCGUGGGGGAAGAUAAUGACUGUACCCCAAGAAGAAGCCCCGGCUAACUCCGUGCCAGCCGCCGCAGUAA
rnacentral:rRNA from 1 species